rnacentral:rRNA from 1 species
GAACGCUGGCGGCGUGCUUAACACAUGCAAGUCGAGCGGAAAGGCCCUUCGGGGUACUCGAGCGGCGAACGGGUGAGUAACACGUGAGUAACCUGCCCCAGGCUUUGGGAUAACCCUCGGAAACGGGGGCUAAUACCGGAUAUUCAUUCUCGGCGGCAUCGUUGGGUGUGGAAAGUUUUUCGGCUUGGGAUGGGCUCGCGGCCUAUCAGCUUGUUGGUGGGGUGAUGGCCUACCAAGGCGACGACGGGUAGCCGGCCUGAGAGGGCGACCGGCCACACUGGGACUGAGACACGGCCCAGACUCCUACGGGAGGCAGCAGUGGGGAAUAUUGCACAAUGGGCGGAAGCCUGAUGCAGCGACGCCGCGUGAGGGAUGAAGGCCUUCGGGUUGUAAACCUCUUUCGACAGGGACGAAGCGUGAGUGACGGUACCUGGAGAAGAAGCGCCGGCCAACUACGUGCCAGCAGCCGCGGUAAGACGUAGGGCGCGAGCGUUGUCCGGAUUUAUUGGGCGUAAAGAGCUCGUAGGCGG